rnacentral:misc_RNA from 1 species
GUCAGUCUAUCCCGGCUGACGCGCCCGUGAGGCGUGUGCCUGCAAGGCCCGAAUCCGUUCCGCCAGCGUGCCGCGCGCCUCGGUAGCGGGGCCAGGCGCCGCAGCGCCAUUUGGGGCAGCGCCGUUCGCCGUGGUCGCCUUGACGAUGGUGCUGAUCGCGGGCUUUUGCUCCUCGGACGCCAGGAUCGCCUCGAUCGGCGAGUCGGGGCCCUCCAGCGUCACCGCAAGCUUGGCGACUUCGGCUGCGAUGUCGUUGAUGCGCUCGCGCAGCAGGGCAUUUUCCAUGCGCUCGGUGGACC